rnacentral:tRNA from 1 species
GUGCCGGUAGCUUAACUGGACAAAGCCCUGCCCUCACGAAGCGGAAGAUGCGGGUUCGAGUCCCGCCCGGCACG